rnacentral:ribozyme from 1 species
UGCCCAGCAACUCCUAUCCCUACCUCCGCGUGGUACCGGCUGGAAACUAUGAGCAACCUUAGGGAAAAUCGG